CCCGCACAAGCGGCGGAGCAUGCGGAUUAAUUCGAUGCAACGCGAGGAACCUUACCAAGGCUUGACAUACACCGGUAACGCCCAGAGAUGGGUGCCCCUUUGUGGUCGGUGUACAGGUGGUGCAUGGUUGUCGUCAGCUCGUGUCGUGAGAUGUUGGGUUAAGUCCCGCAACGAGCGCAACCCUCGACCUUAGUUGCCAGCAUUCAGUUGGGCACUCUAAGGUGACUGCCGGCUAAAAGUCGGAGGAAGGUGGGGAUGACGUCAAAUCAUCAUGCCCCUUAUGUCUUGGGCUUCACGCAUGCUACAAUGGCCGGUACAAAGGGCUGCGAUACCGCGAGGUGGAGCGAAUCCCAGAAAGCCGGUCUCAGUUCGGAUUGGGGUCUGCAACUCAACCCCAUGAAGUCGGAGUCGCUAGUAAUCGCAGAUCAGCAACGCUGCGGUGAAUACGUUCCCGGGCCUU
rnacentral:rRNA from 1 species